UUUAAUAUCAUAGGAGUUUUCCCAUCUUUUUUUCCAAUUAGUUGUUUAAUAGUGUCUCUGAAAGUUUGUUGACUUCCUAUGACAUUGAUAUCCACCAUUUACAGUUGUGGGUUAUGAAAUUUCCUUCAUUCAUUUUAGUGUUUCCUGAGCUUUGAUUGUUGUUGAAUUUUUAUUGCAUGAUUUACUCUAAAACGAAUUGAAGGGCACAUGUCUAAUCUCUACUGAUAUUCUAGAUGCACAUUUAUAGUGGCUUAAUUAUUUUGUGAAAGACUGCUGUUAAAUUUACAAAAAAUUGAUAUGUUCAACUUCCGGUGGGAAAAAUGGUGGUUGAUAUAUAAAGAAUGGAGUGUAGUAUCUCGUGAUAGAAGGAGA
rnacentral:lncRNA from 1 species